GCCGCCCUCACCUCAAGCGCCGCGGCUGCUUCCUCCUCCUCCUCCUCCUCCUCACGCCGUGCCAGGUGGUCCUUUUGAGACUCCUAAACAAGAAAACAGAGUCAGAGGAAUUGAACGUGAAUUAAAGUGAAGGAAGAGAGAGACUAACAAGUGAGCUAUGACAGCAAAGAUUACUUUUGGGGGAAAGAAAUCAGCACAAGCAGAGGAAUGAAUGGACACAGAGGAAGAAAUAAUGACAAGAGAGAAGGAGAAGACCUAGUGAAAGACGCCACGGGAGAAGCCUGGUGGAGAGGGGCUUGCGGAUGAGAGCGAGAGAAAACUACGUUUGCAGUAAAUAAAAGCAUAAAAGCAUCCCUCACAGAGGAUCUCUCAACUCGGUGACCUUUGAAGUUGCAAGGACACGUGGCCUAGACAGGAAAGGAAGACAGCACAUCCCUCAGGAACAGAAAUCAAUAUUCUCCUGUCACUUAAACACAAACAACAAAGAAACCCCAGUCCCCUGGUGAGCAAUUGCCAGUUUAAUCUCGCCAUCCUCAGUAAGUCACUCCUUUACUACUGUGGAGGUGCCAGCAUAUUCAUUAUGGGCUCUGCUUUCUUUGUCACAACCACUGUGCUCAGGAAAUACACGUUCAGUUCCCUUGCCUGUGUCCAAGAGGAAAACAGCACUCAUGAAAUCAGGGCCCCACCUCACAGUUUUAAUCUCCAACCCUGCCACAAUAAGAGAACUAAACAAUACUUACAAUUGUGUUAUCUUUAACAAGCAUUUGAGAAAAAUGUUCACUUCUUAUGCAACAGUAAAAACCUGUAAAUAAACUGCAGUGAUGUGAAUCAACACAUGAGGGAUAUGGUGGGGUCUGUGUGGGCAGGGCAGGUGAUUCACAGAAAGAAAAGCCUGACAAACCAAAUUUACAGUCACUUCAUAAAGCAAACUUAGCACUUGCCUUUCUGCAAAGCACAGGGCUCAGUCUGUGCUGUGCAGGGCACACAUCAAACACCCAGAGCUGGUUCCCUCUUCCUUCCAAGGCGUGUCCAUAGAAAGGGAUGUGAUCAGUACUUAAAAACCCAACAACACCCCCAGACAGGCUGAGAACAAACAAAGCCCUCACUGAGAACCAUGGCAGUUCUCUCCAAACAAGCAAAGCAUAUCAAAGCAACCCGGAGAAAGCAGUAGGAGUGAAGUAGUAAAUAAAAAUCCA